rnacentral:misc_RNA from 1 species
GGGUCGAUGAAGAACGCAGCAAGCUACGAUAGUCAGUGCGAAUUGCAGGACACACUGAGCACUUGAUUUUCCAACGCACAUUGCGGCCUUGGAGCUUUUCCGAGGUCACAUCUAUCUGAGAGUCGAAAUGGAAUAUCAUAAGCGAUGUGAUGCUGUGUAGCUGUUUGGCGAAACCCUGUCUCUGUUGAAACUAUCCUACCUGAUAGGAUAAAGUAGGAGAUGGAUAGUAGUUUACACUCACACUCACGCGUAUUCGCAUGUCUUGGGUAUACCUUGAGUAUACCCUCGACGAUACUGUGUGCCUGAGCUUUGGUCACUCAGUUGAUUGAGUGUGUGUAUGUAUACCCUACCCAGGGUGUGCAUGCCUAUUCAUUCAACGUGUGAGUGUCCUAGCCAGGUGAUGUACUCUGUUGCAUACAUCUGCCCUGCCUGCAAGAUGGAGGGUAAAGCGAAGAUGGAGAAAUGAGUACCCGAGUAGGUACACCAUCCUCGAGAUGCUAAAGUCUUAGGUUAAUGGUGUACACAUCUACCAGUGUACUAGUACCAUUGGGUUCUAGUAUCGGGCUCAUGGAGAUGGUUGGAAUAGUGUAUGGGGACACUAUUGCCAAUAAAAAAGUCGUUACAUGUAUAGUCUAUUGAUGUUGCAACCAGUGUUAAGGUAGAAGUCGUUACCCUACCGAACAUCAUCACAGAUAUGAUAUGAUGUUGAAAAAAUUCCACUAUUCGAUCUCAGAGUAGGUGAGACUACCCGCUGAAUUUAAGCAUAU